rnacentral:rRNA from 1 species
AUUCUCAGCGGCAAGGUUAAGCCGAAAGAGGUGGAGCCGUAGCGAAAGCGAGUCUUAAAAGGGCGAUUAGUCGUUGGGAAUAGACCCGAAGCGGGAUGAUCUAUCCAUGGUCAGGAUGAAGCAGGUGUAAGAACCUGUGAAGGUCCGAACUGGUGCCCUUUGAAAAGGUCUCGGAUGAACUGUGGAUAGGGGUGAAAGGCCAAUCAAAUUCCGUGAUAGCUGGUUCUCCUCGAAACAUAUAGAGGUAUGGCCUUGUAAAUUUAAGUAACGGAGGUAGAGCACUGAAUGGACUAGGGGUCCUACCAGACUACCAAACCCAAUCAAACUCCGAAUGCCGUUAACUUUGACUACNNNNNNNNNNNNNNNNNNGCCGUUAACUUUGACUACAGGAGACAGACUGUGGGGGAUAAGCUUCAUAGUCAAAAGGGAAAGAGCCCAGAUCGCCAGCUAAGGUCCCUAAUAUAUGCUAAGUGGAAAAGGUUGUGGUAGCGCACAGACAGCUAGGAGGUUGGCUUAGAAGCAGCCAUCCUUUAAAGAAAGCGUAACAGCUCACUAGUCAAGCGAGACUGCGCCGAAAAUAUAACGGGGCUAAAGCAUAUUACCGAAGCUGCGACUUGUAAGAAUGAUUCGUCAUUUUUACAGGGGUAGAGGAGCAUUCCAUGGGCCGUCGAAGCAAGACCAACAAGGACUUGUGGAGGUGAUGGAAGAGCUGAUGCUGACAUGAGUAGCGAUAAAACGGGUGCGAAACCCGUUCGCCGUAAAUCUAAGGGUUCCUGAGGAAGGUUAAUCCUCUCAGGGUUAGUCGAUGCCUAAGUCGAGGCCGAAAGGCGUAGAUGAUGGAAAGUAGGUUAAUAUUCCUGCACCAUCAAGGUAGUGUUUGAACGAUGGGGAGAGAAGAAGGAUAAAUCAUCUUACCGAUGGAUGUGUAAGUACAUGCUCGAAGGAGGUGCUUUAGGUAAAUCCGGAGCACAUAUACUCUGAGGAGCGUGUGGUGGGGUCUAACCACCCUAGAACUGAUUGAUUCCAGACUUCCUAGAAAAACCUCUAAGUAAAUUACCUUGGUGAUCGUACCGCAAACCGACUCAGGUAGAUGAGGAGAGAAUCCUAAGGCGCUUGAGAUAAUUCUCGUUAAGGAACUCGGCAAUCUAACACUGUAACUUCGGGAAAAAGUGUGCCCUUUGUAGAUGAAGUCCCUCGCGGACGUAGUCGAGAAGGGUUGCAAUAACCAGGUGGUAGCGACUGUUUACUAAAAACACAGGACUCUGCAAAGUCGCAAGACGACGUAUAGGGUCUGACGCCUGCCCGGUGCUGGAAGGUUAAGGCAAGCGGUUAGCUCGUAAGAGCGAAGCUGUGAACCGAAGCCCCAGUAAACGGCGGCCGUAACUAUAACGGUCCUAAGGUAGCGAAAUCCCUUGUCGGGUAAGUUCCGACCUGCAUCAAUGGCGUAACGACUUCCAUGCUGUCUCAACGAGAUUCUCAGCGAAAUUGAAGGAUCGGUGAAAAUGCCGAUUACCCGUAGUGGGACGAAAAGACCCUGUGCACCUUUACUGCAACCUGGCACUGAGUUUUGAAAUGAUUUGUGUAGAAUAGAUGGGAGACUUUGAAGCGGGGGCGCUAGCUUCCGCUGAGUCGACAGUGAAAUACCACUCUGAUCGUUUUGAGAUUCUAAUUCAGGGCUGUAAUCCAGCUCGAAGACAAUGUCAGGCGGGUAGUUUGACUGGGGCGGUCGCCUCCCAAAAAGUAACGGAGNNNNNNNNNNNNNNNNNNNNNNNNNNNNNNNNNNNNNNNNNNNNNNNNNNNNNNNNNNNNNNNNNNNNNNNNNNNNNNNNNNNNNNNNNNNNNNNNNNNNCAGGCUUUAGUGAUCCGGUGGUUCUGAAUGGAAGGGCCAUCGCUCAACGAAUAAAAGGUACGCCGGGGAUAACAGGCUGAUCUCCCCCAAGAGUUCAUAUCGACGGGGAGGUUUGGCACCUCGAUGUCGACUCAUCACAUCCUGGGGCUGAAGUAGGUCCCAAGGGUUGGGCUGUUCGCCCAUUAAAGUGGUACGUGAGUUGGGUUUAGAACGUCGUGAGACAGUUCGGUCUCUAUCUACUACGGGCGCAGGAUAUUUGAGGGUGAUUCGUCCCUAGUACGAGAGGACCGGGAUGAACGAACCUCUAGUGUACCAGUUAUUUCGCCAGAAGUAGUGCUGGGUAGCUAUGUUCGGAAUGGAUAACCGCUGAAAGCAUCUAAGUGGGAAACCAACCCCAAGAUAAGAUAUCCCUGGAGCGCAAGCUCCCUAAAGACCCCUUGUAGACUACAAGGUUGAUAGGCUCGGUGUGUAAGAGCAGUAAUGUUCUGAGCUAACGAGUACUAAUUGGUCGUGCGUCUUUAUCAUAAAU